UUACGGCCACAACACAUUGAAACACCGAUUCGCAUACGAUCAUAGAAGUUAAGCAAUGUCGAGUCUGUUCAGUACCUAGAUGGGUGACCGCUUGGGGAUGCCAGGAGCUGUAAUC